GCCGGGGUGGCGGAAUUGGCAGACGCGCCAGACUAAGGAUCUGGUGGGCUUAACGGCCCCUGAGGGUUCGAGUCCCUCUCCCGGCACCA
rnacentral:tRNA from 1 species